CUGAGUAAUCUGUUAUUCUGAUAUAUACAAUUGUUAUGAGAUUUGAUAAAUCAGUGUGAUUGCGUUACAUGAUCAUGGUCUUGUAAUAGCACAAUUUGCCCGGGGCCUAAUCAGAAUAAACAAAAAUAUAUAAAAAAAUAAAAAUAAGAACAAAAAUUAUUAAAAUUCCAUCAGUCCAUAGUUACAAACCCAAGUUACAGAGGCCCAACUUCAAAACACCCAAAAUUUAAACCCAGACCCAAAAUAGACCCUAAACCCG
rnacentral:lncRNA from 1 species